CCUACGGGUGGCAGCAGUGAGGAAUAUUGGUCAAUGGGCGCGAGCCUGAACCCGCCAAGUCGCGUGAGGGAAGACGGUCCUAUGGAUUUUAAACCUCUUUUGUCGGGGAGCAAAAGACGCCACGCGUGGCUUUCCGCGAGUACCCUACGAACAAGCAUCGGCUAACCCCGUGCCAGCAGCCGCGGUACUACGGAGGAUGCGAGCGUUAUCCGGAUUUAUUGGGUUAAAGGGGUGCGCAGGCGGACGAUCAAGUCAGCGGUAAAAUGGAGGGGCUCAACCUCUUCGAGCCGUUGAAACUGGUGUGCUUGAGUGAGGGAGAGGGAGGCAGAAUGCGUGGUGUAGCGGUGAAAUGCAUAGAUAUCACGCAGAACUCCGAUUGCGAAGGCAGCAUACCGGAGGUCAACUGACGCUCAUACACGAAAGUGUGGGUAUCGAACAGGAUUAGAUACCCGUGUAGUC
rnacentral:rRNA from 1 species